AAAAUAUAAAUUAAAUUUUUUUGGCUUAACACGCGAUUGUCGUUUUGAUGUCACAGACACACAUGAGGGGGACUAGGGAAAAGGAAGUAUAGCAAAAGCGUUUCCCCCAAAAGACGCCAAACGAUGGCGACGACGUCGCCUGCAGUCGACACUCAAAAAGGUUGCCCGUGGAAUUCCACAAUUCACCCUUCGGAAAGCUUCCUUCCUCUUAGGAGUUCCCAGUCCAGGUCGAACGUCGCUCACCUUGCGGUCUGCCAUUUUCGAGCAAGAAGUUCAUUACUCAUAAAUGCUGCACAUGGCACGGCCCAGGAGAUGGAGAUGUCGAGACUGGAUCCUGGAUCCAGGAUCCUGGGGGGACCUCCACACCCAUUAAAACAACAACAAGAAGGAGGAAGACGCUUGUGGUAUGAGAACUUCCCUCCCCUUCCUCCUCGCUAUAAGUUAAGAGAAAUCUGCAGUGCGCUUUAAGUGUUAUCGGCAUCACGCAUACACCGAAAAGACAAGCCCUUAGCUUACAUCUACCCGCAGCUCCAACUACCCUUGCCACUCCGACGAAUGUGACGACGUGGAGGACAUUUUCAUUUUAUGACAGGGCUUCCUCCCUGGCGGAGAGAGAGCGAAAAAAUUGUUGCCGUAACCACCGAAUACUUCUACGUGUUUGCGGCCGAGUUCAAAGAUUUAUCAGCUUCGACUUCGACAAGGCGCUGUCGUCAAGUUCAGGACAGAUUUCCACCUCCACCUACAAAUUUAAUACCCACGCAAACGUGUGGGAACUUUAAGUGCUGCCCCUAGUCACAAGGAGUAGACGUCUCCUGAAGAUCCAAAGGACAGAAAAGGAAAUGUAGAAGUUCAAAGAAAUUUGAUUUUCUUUUCAAAUGCAUAAAUGGGAAGGUGUACCACUUUGGGUUCACACAUUAAAAAAUCAUCAAAAGUGGCAGAAAGUGGAAUGGCCAAUUAUGUUUGACCUCGCUGCAGUGUUACAUAAAAGAGACUGGCAAGACUAUUCAUAUGAUGUUGUAGGUAGGCUAAACUUCAAAACUUACUUGCUGCAAGCAAGGAAACCUAAAAAAAAGUGCGUGUAAAGAAACUAAGCUAGAAGAUCCCUUUAGCACUCAUGGGGGAACAAGUUUGGAAGGGUGUUAAAUAAGAAGUUAAGAAUAAGAGCGGCUAUAAUCCUUCCACCUAAUGACCAAUAUUGUAUUCAUGCAACAAAAUUUCUUAGAUACAUUCUUAAAGACUCUGAGA